GUAUCAUGUGCACUUUUAACUGCAUUUUUGUACUCUUGGUUGUUCUGAACUUCUGGGCUUAUGGGCGGUUUCUGAAUAAGCUACAAAGGAAGAUUCUUGGGCCUUGAUAAAGAUGAGUUUUAUGAAGAUGUAGACUCCAGACACCAUCCAAACCGGCUGAAUACUUUCAGGGACCUGGAGCUGCAGGGGCUCUUUCCUCAGCUGCUGGGCACAAGAGCAGUCUCCUGGGGAAAGCCACAAGGGAUGAGGCGAGUGCAGGGCUCGACCUCCCACCUCCUCCAGUCUGUCCCCAUCUGAGUUGCCCUGUGAGCCUGCUUCUUCAGAGACAUUUUCCAGGCUAAAGAAAUAAUGCAGAUAUUGGCCACAGAGCUGCAGAGACAGUGUGUGGAAAUUGAGAAGUGGGAGGAGUGGUGAAAUGAGAACAGAAAAUAAAAAGUCACAAACACAGCGCCCUUCCUCUCAAGACAGCAAACUGAGAGUG